GACGAACGCUGGCGGCGUGCUUAACACAUGCAAGUCGAACGGAAAGGCCCUGCUUUUGUGGGGUGCUCGAGUGGCGAACGGGUGAGUAACACGUGAGUAACCUGCCCUUGACUUUGGGAUAACUUCAGGAAACUGGGGCUAAUACCGGAUAGGAGCUCCUGCUGCAUGGUGGGGGUUGGAAAGUUUCGGCGGUUGGGGAUGGACUCGCGGCUUAUCAGCUUGUUGGUGGGGUAGUGGCUUACCAAGGCUUUGACGGGUAGCCGGCCUGAGAGGGUGACCGGCCACAUUGGGACUGAGAUACGGCCCAGACUCCUACGGGAGGCAGCAGUGGGGAAUAUUGCACAAUGGGCGGAAGCCUGAUGCAGCAACGCCGCGUGCGGGAUGACGGCCUUCGGGUUGUAAACCGCUUUCGCCUGUGACGAAGCGUGAGUGACGGUAAUGGGUAAAGAAGCACCGGCUAACUACGUGCCAGCAGCCGCGGUGAUACGUAGGGUGCGAGCGUUGUCCGGAUUUAUUGGGCGUAAAGGGCUCGUAGGUGGUUGAUCGCGUCGGAAGUGUAAUCUUGGGGCUUAACCCUGAGCGUGCUUUCGAUACGGGUUGACUUGAGGAAGGUAGGGGAGAAUGGAAUUCCUGGUGGAGCGGUGGAAUGCGCAGAUAUCAGGAGGAACACCAGUGGCGAAGGCGGUUCUCUGGGCCUUUCCUGACGCUGAGGAGCGAAAGCGUGGGGAGCGAACAGGCUUAGAUACCCUGGUAGUCCACGCUGUAAACGGUGGGUACUAGGUGUGGGGUCCAUUCCACGGGUUCCGUGCCGUAGCUAACGCUUUAAGUACCCCGCCUGGGGAGUACGGCCGCAAGGCUAAAACUCAAAGGAAUUGACGGGGCCCCGCACAAGCGGCGGAGCAUGCGGAUUAAUUCGAUGCAACGCGUAGAACCUUACCUGGGUUUGACAUGGAUCGGGAGUGCUCAGAGAUGGGUGUGCCUCUUUUGGGGUCGGUUCACAGGUGGUGCAUGGCUGUCGUCAGCUCGUGUCGUGAGAUGUUGGGUUAAGUCCCGCAACGAGCGCAACCCUUGUUCACUGUUGCCAGCACGUUAUGGUGGGGACUCAGUGGAGACCGCCGGGGUCAACUCGGAGGAAGGUGGGGAUGACGUCAAGUCAUCAUGCCCCUUAUGUCCAGGGCUUCACGCAUGCUACAAUGGCUGGUACAGAGAGUGGCGAGCCUGUGAGGGUGAGCGAAUCUCGGAAAGCCGGUCUCAGUCCGGAUUGGGGUCUGCAACUCGACCUCAUGAAGUCGGAGUCGCUAGUAAUCGCAGAUCAGCAACGCUGCGGAAAUACGUUCCCGGGGCU
rnacentral:rRNA from 1 species